AUACCUAUAUUAUGAGUAAAACAUACCUAAAUUAUCAGUAAAAUUUACUGAUGUUCUAGAGAAACCGACUUUACCUAUAUUUGAGUAAUCUCAUUUACCCAUAUUUGGGUGAAAAAUAAUUCAUAAACAAAUAUCCAAACUGAUUGCCGCCGCACCACAUCAAUGUCGCAAUCAUUGUAAGUUUUCAAAUUUUUCCCAAUUUUUAUUCUUUAUGGUGUCAACGUCGGUAACCAUUUAAGUUCCGGGUGCAGAGAGUUCCGAUUAGCAGCACCAUAUUGACCUCCUCGCAGACGACGAUCGACGAUAUACACCAGAUAGAAAUAAUAUAAGCUGAUUCCUGAACCACCGGUGGGGAACUUCUUCCCUCCGCUGCGAGUCGCUGACCUGAAAAAGCUCAAAAUACCAGUCGAGGUACCAGUCGGAAUUUUUCAAUCCUCCAGCAACCGAUUCGGUUUUGCUAUUGGGAGUUCUCGGCAUGCCCCGAGCUAUUGAAAAGCUGGAGAUCCCAUUCGAUAUGUCCCAAAUUCAAUGUUUCACGAAAUAUUAUUCGGAGGACCUCUGCUGUGCAAGUGAAAAUGACGACACCAAGCUCAUCAAUGGAUCAAAAGGCCGGCAGUUGCUAAAGGCUCCAACUGAAUUCAUUCAAUGGGCAAUGAGAUGGAAAAAUCGAGAUAGAUUCCGUUCAUGAUAGAGGAAACGCAAUAGUGAAACGGAAUAUGAGCGCGGAAGUGGAUGCUGUUUAAUUUUUGUACCAGGAACAAAUUUUGUUUUGUUGCUAUGCAUGCUGUGUGGUAGUAGCCACUACUCGAGACUACUACUAAAAUAAUUUCCGGAUUGCAGAUUUGUGAUACGAUUGAUUUUUUUGCGGUCAGUGGCAACCGAUCAAUUCAUUGAUACAAAAACGUAUUUGUUCAUCCGGCACAGUUACCAUCUAGCAAGCUGCCACCAGUUACGGAAUGGGAUGCCGUCAAACGUCCUCAUCAACAGUUGGUGCUUUUACUGUUUUCCGAUACUUGCUGCGAUUGACUCUAUAUAUUCCAUGGUGCACCAUACUGAUAGGAAGCUUCUGUUCAGGAAUGUUUCGGUCCAUCCGGGAUUACUGCCUUCAGGUUCUGCUGCUGGUAACAGCAUCCAGCAUCACAGGGAAUGAAAAAUUGGAUACAACUAUUUUAUGAAAAUGUAAAUUUAUAUACAGAGAUAAAUAGAC